rnacentral:rRNA from 1 species
GACGAACGCUGGCGGCAGGCUUAACUCAUGCAAGUCCCACCAGAACGCUUUGGCUUUUCCAAUGCAAGUACAUUGGCGGACGGGUGCGUAUCGCGUAGAUAACCUGCCCUCACGCGCGGGACAAUCACGGGAAACCGUGGCUAAUACCAUACGUCAUCUGGAUCCCUCAUGGGAACCAGAUGAAAACCUUCGGGCGCCUUUGGAUGGGUCUGCGUUGGAUUAGCUUGUUGGUGAAGUAACAGCUCACCAUAGCAACUAUCCAUACCUGGUCUGACAAUACGAUCACCCACGCUGGGAGUGAGACACGGCCCAAACUCCUACCGGAGGCACCACUGGCGGAAUCUUGCACAAUGGGGUAACCCCUGAUGCACCCAUGCCUCGUGGAGGAAGACACCCCUAUGGCGCGUAAACUCCUUUUCUGAACCAACACACCACUGUAGUUUACGGGCGCGACGGUAUUUCACGAAUAAGCACCCGCUAGCUACGCGCCAUCUCCCGCGCUAAUACCGAGGGUGCAAGCGUUGUCCAGGAUCAUUGCGUGUAAACGGUGCGCACGCGGGGCACCAAGUCUUGAUGUGAAACCCCAUGGCUUCCUCAUAGAUGUGCAUUCGAAAUUGUUGCUCUUGAGUCCAGGACAGGCUGUCUGAAUUCAUGGUGUGCCGCUGAAAUGCGUAAAUAUCAAGAGGAACACCAUAAGCGAAAGCAGACAGCUGGACUGGUACUGACUCUCAUGCACGAACGCGUGUGGAGCAAACAGGAUUAGAUACCGUGGUAGUCCACGCUGUAAAUGAUGAAUGCUCGCCGUUGCCUCGUUAGGGGGCAGUGGCUAAGUUAACGCGUUAAGCAAUCCACAUGGGGAGUAAGAUCGCAAGGUUGAAAAUCAAAGGAAUUGACGGGGGCCCGCACAAGCGGUGGAGCAUGUGGCUCAAUUCGAUGCAACGCGAAGAACCUUACGUAGGCUCGAACGCUAGAGGACCGCUCGUGAAAGGGAGCUUCCCCUUUGGGGCUUAUAGCGAGGUACUGCAUGGAUGUCGUCAGCUCGUGUCGUGAGAAGAUGGGUUAAGUCCCGCAAAGAGGGUAACUCCUGUUGGUAGUUACCAUGGGGUAAUGCCGGGGACUCUAGGGAAAAUGCCUGAGCAAGCAGUGAGGAAGGUGGGGAUGACGUCAAGUCAUCAUGGUCGGUACGCUUAGGGUUGCACACGUGCUACAAAGGCUGGUACAAUGAGCAGCCACCUUGAGAGAGGGAGUGAAUCUAUGAAAACCGGUCCCAGUUCGGAUGGGAGUCUGCAAGUUGACUUCAUGAAGCAGGAAUGGGUAGUAAUGGCGGAUCAGCAAUGCCGCGGUGAAUCCGUUCCCGGGCGUGGUACACACCGCCUGACAAGCCAGGGAAGCAGAGAGCACCCGAAGUAUGUGCACUCGGCUCCAAGCAAUGGGGUGGAGGUAGAGCGGCCGAAGGUGGUCUCAGUGGCCUGGGGUU